rnacentral:rRNA from 1 species
UACGUAGGGGGCAAGCGUUGUCCGGAAUCAUUGGGCGUAAAGAGCGUGUAGGCGGCUCGGUAAGUCCGCUGUGAAAGUCCAGGGCUCAACCCUGGAAUGCCGGUGGAAACUGUCGAGCUCGAGUCCGGAAGAGGCGAGUGGAAUUCCUGGUGUAGCGGUGAAAUGCGCAGAUAUCAGGAGGAACACCAAUGGCGAAGGCAGCUCGCUGGGACGGUACUGACGCUGAGACGCGAAAGCGUGGGGAGCAAACGGG